rnacentral:rRNA from 1 species
AGUGGCGGACGGGUGAGUAACGCGUGGGCAACCUGCCCUGUACCGGGGGAUAACAGCCGGAAACGGCUGCUAAUACCGCAUAAGCGCACGAGAGCGCAUGCUUUUGUGUGAAAAACUCCGGUGGUACGGGAUGGGCCCGCGUCUGAUUAGCUUGUUGGCGGGGUAGAAGCCCACCAAGGCGACGAUCAGUAGCCGACCUGAGAGGGUGACCGGCCACAUUGGGACUGAGACACGGCCCAAACUCCUACGGAAGGCAGCAG